rfam:Desulfofustis glycolicus DSM 9705 genome assembly, contig: EJ46DRAFT_scaffold00019.19
CUUUGCGUGCAGGGGUGGCCGUGAGGGCCUGAGAUAAUACCCAUUGAACCUGAUCUGGUUAACACCAGCGUAGGGAAUUGCAGCGUUCUUCGCU